UUUUAAACUAGUACAUGAUUUUACACCCAAAAAAAAACACCUAGUAUAAAAUAGUAAAUGAAAAUGUCUAUUGCUUCUCUCUUUCUCUAGCGCUUUUUGUAUUAAUAUAUUUUGGUCUCUAUCUUUGAAGACUUGCACACAUAUAUAGGCAUAAUCUGUAUAGAAUUUUAUUUUAUAUACUGUUCUGCAACUUCCUUUUUUCUCACAGCAGUUUAUCAUAGGCUUUUUCUAUGCUAAUAUAUAUAAAUCUGCCUUGUUCUUUUACCUUGUUUUUAAUACCUUUUUUGUAUUCCAUUGUGGUUGUUUUUCUUCAUAAUUUAUUUAAACAAUUCUCUGUUUAUGGAUAAUGUUGAAGUGGGUAUCUUUGCACAUAUGUGUGGAUGCUAGUACAAGUCUAUCUGUGAAAUGAAUUUCUAGCAUUAAAAUUGAUAGAUCAAACAAUGUUGCACAUUCUUGCCAAAGUGCUGUUUAAAAGGACUGUGCUGAUUUAUAUUCCCAUUAACAAUAAAGAUGACUGCAUUUCUCACACCCCUACUGACCCUGGAUGCUGAUUUUUUUUAGUCAGCCAUUGAAUAGGCAAAAAUUGCAUUUUAAUUUACAUUUCUCUAGGGGUCAUUAUUUCCUUUCUUGACUAUUUACAAUUUGUUCUGUGCUUAUCCAAGUUGCUUGCUCAUUUUUAUACUGAAGCAGUCUUUUUUCUUUUUUAAAUUAAAAAAAAACCCCUGAUUUGUAGGUAUUUUCUAUGAAAAUGAUAGUAACCUUUUGCAGCUGGGGGAUUGCUUUAUUUAUGAAUUAUUUCAGAUGCACACAAAUGAGCCUACCAUCAGAGUUUUAAAACCAUUUUAUAUCCUGAGUAAACAAGCAUUGAAGACGCAGACUUCAGCUUGGUACAAUACAGACUUCUGAGAAUCAGAGUUAGCGAGCCAUGGAGCAGACACUUUCAGGAGGCAGACACUGGAAGGUGGUGUUAUGUUCUGUCCACUGCAGGCCAUGCACUGGCUCUGUCGCUGCGGUCAUCCAGGACAAACCCAAAGACAAAAAGCAAAAUUACAGAUCCCGAGAUUAACUCUGUCCAGGACAUUCAGGAAGGGCAGCUCCUGAGAGGC